rnacentral:rRNA from 1 species
UACGGAAGGCAGCAGUGGGGAAUAUUGCACAAUGGGCGCAAGCCUGAUGCAGCCAUGCCGCGUGUAUGAAGAAGGCCUUCGGGUUGUAAAGUACUUUCAGUCGUGAGGAAGGUGUUAAGGUUAAUAACCUUAGCAAUUGACGUUAGCGACAGAAGAAGCACCGGCUAACUCCGUGCCAGCAGCCGCGGUAAUACGGAGGGUGCGAGCGUUAAUCGGAAUUACUGGGCGUAAAGGGCACGCAGGCGGUUAAUUAAGUUGGAUGUGAAAUCCCCGGGCUUAACCUGGGAAUGGCAUUCAAGCUGGUUAGCUAGAGUCUUGUAGAGGGGGUAGAAUUCCAUGUGUAGCGGUGAAAUGCGUAGAGAUGUGGAGGAAUACCGGUGGCGAAGGCGGCCCCUGGGACAAAGGCUGACGCUCAUGUGCGAAAGCGUGGGGAGCAAACG